AUUGAACGCUGGCGGAAUGCUUUACACAUGCAAGUCGAACGGUAGAGGGGGCAACCCCUUGAGAGUGGCGAACGGGUGAGUAAUAUAUCGGAACGUGCCCAGUCGUGGGGAUAACGUAGCGAAAGCUACGCUAAUACCGCAUACGAUCUAUGGAUGAAAGCGGGGGAUCGCAAGACCUCGCGCGAUUGGAGCGGCCGAUAUCAGAUUAGGUAGUUGGUGAGGUAAAGGCUCACCAAGCCGACGAUCUGUAGCUGGUCUGAGAGGACGACCAGCCACACUGGGACUGAGACACGGCCCAGACUCCUACGGGAGGCAGCAGUGGGGAAUUUUGGGACAAUGGGCGCAAGCCUGAUCCAGCAAUGCCGCGUGCAGGAUG
rnacentral:rRNA from 1 species